rnacentral:lncRNA from 1 species
CAUAAACAGCUCAGGCAGGAUGUCCAUAUUAAACAUGAGACACCAAAGCUCCCUGCAAAGACCAGUUCAAGUGCCAGCAUGCACACCCGAGCCCUUCAUCUUUAAAAGAUUGCUUAAGAAAAUCUUGUGCUGUUUAUUUAAAACAUUAAAUUAGGGCAAAAGGGAGACUGUGGUCUUUCCAUUAAGGCGGUCAUGACUGAAGUGUGUUCCUGAGGAGAGCGAUGGAGUCGUCUCAUCUCACUUAUCGCAACGUGUUGUUUAUGAAAUGCUUUCCUCUUUUCAAGGCUUUUUCUGAUAUGUGAUCUCAUCUGGUCCUCUCAACAAUUCUGUGAGCAGAUAUACAAUAGUGGUUGGCCUCCUCCUACAGAGAGAUUGACAGCUGGCGUGAGUGAGCUAGAAUGCGCCAUGUGGCUUCUCUUCCUUUCCCUCUUGCUUGCUCAAAAGGGACAGGAAGAGUCCUGCUCCCACCUACUAGCUGCAUUGCCUUCAGCAAGUUACUUGCCCUCCCUAAGCCUCGGUUUCCUCAUUUGUAGAAUGGGGAAAUGACUGUACUCACCUCCAAGAUCUCCCUGAUGAUUAAAGUAACAAAGUCUAGGCUCAUCUAGAGCCUAGAGUAGUCAGCUCUUGGAAAAUGGUAUCUGUUCAUUUGCUGCCAUGGUGGAACAUGUAGUUCACAAAGUGAAGAGUGCCUGAAGAUGAGACUCAGAGGGGGAACUAUGCCAAUGCAUUUAAUUACCAACCUUUAAAAUAUGUGAUUUUAUUAACUCUACAAUGGAUCCAAAUGAGAAAAGCACAAGCGAAAAUUCCCUAUCCGUGAUCUGUCUUCAUCAAUAAUUGGGCCAUCUAUUUAAUGCUUUUUUUUCCAACAGGGAAAAAAAUGUAUACUUUUUAUCUCCUUACAUUAUGAAGACAAGUAUAUAAAGUGGUAGAGUUGAACAAGAAGCAGGUACUCAAAAAGGUGACCAUGGUGUGUUGACAUCCUGUCAGUCAUCUGGUAUCCAUAUCCCCUUUACUAGAAAGAUCAGUUAUUCCACAGCUCAUUCAUUCAAUGAAUGUGGUCCCAGAGGAUCAUCUACUAGCCUUAUCAGCUCUAAUUUUCCAUCUUAUCACUCAGCCAAUAAUUCAUUAUCUUGUAAGCCUCUCAUACUUUUGUCCACAUCCCUAUACCCAGUGAUAGGCU